rnacentral:pre_miRNA from 1 species
GUCAGGAAGGGGAAGAAAGAGGUGUUCUAAGAGCAGUUGGAAUGGGAACAUGGAGGAAAAAUGAGUUAUCAAUUCCACUUCUAUAAUUAGAGGUGGAUACUUGUCUCGUAUUUUCCCGAUGCCUCCCAUUCCUAUCGUUCUUAGGUGUUCCUUCCUCUUCCUUUCAUCU